rnacentral:rRNA from 1 species
GAUGAACGCUGGCGGCGUGCCUAAUACAUGCAAGUCGAGCGAACGGACGAGAAGCUUGCUUUUCUGAUGUUAGCGGCGGACGGGAGAGUAACACGUGGAUAACCUACAUAUAAGACUGGGAUAAAUUCGGGAAAUCGGAGCUAAUACCGGAUAAUAUUUUGAACCGCAUGGUUCAAAAGUGAAAGACGGUCUUGCUGUCACUUAUAGAUGGAUCCGCGCUGCAUUAGCUAGUUGGUAAGGUAACGGUUUACUAAGGCAACGAUGCAUAGCCGACCUGAGAGGGUGAUCGGCCACACUGGAACGGGGACACGGUCCAGACUCCUACGGGAGGCAGCAGUAGGGAAUCUUCCGCAAUGGGCGGAAGCCUUGCGGAGCAACGGCGCGUGAGUGAUGAAGGUCUUCUGAUCGUAAAACUCUGUUAUUAGGGAAGAACAUAUGUGUAGUUAACUGUGGACAUCUUGACGGUACCUAAUCAAAAAGCCACGGCUAACUACGUG